rnacentral:rRNA from 1 species
CAGUCGCCGCGGGAAUACGAAGGGUGCAAGCGUUAAUCGGAAUUACUGGGCGUAAAGGGUGCGUAGGCGGUUGUUUAAGUCUGUUGUGAAAUUCCCGGGCUCAACUUGGGAAUGGCAAUGGAAACUGGACGGCUAGAGUGUGUCAGAGGAUGGUGGAAUUCCCGGUGUAGCGGUGAAAUGCGUAGAGAUCGGGAGGAACAUCAGUGGCGAAGGCGGCCAUCUGGGACAACACUGACGCUGAGGCACGAAAGCGUGAGGAGCAAACAGGAUUAGAUACCCGCGUAGUCCCUGUCUCUUAUAC